AAUAAAAUUCCAAAAGGCAUAAACCAUACAGUAGAGAAAUGUAACGAUGAAUCUUUAACAGCCAUCACACGCUCAGUCAGCUCAAUUUCCAAAUUAAAUAAAUUAAAGCACCACCUUUAUCACCGUCUAAAGAGACAUUCUGAGCAAAAGUUUCUUCAAUCAUCUAAUGCAUCAAGUUGAGGACCAAAUGCCACCAAAAUUAAGGAUUUUUUUAUCACACCCUCUAUGUGAAACAUCACACAUAAAAUAAAAUACAUUCCAAAUGUUCAAUUCAAUCCUAAUAAAGCGCAAUUCUGUAAAGCACAACUCCAAAUAAAUUGC